CGCAGCCGCGGUAAUUCCAGCUCCAAUAGCGUAUAUUAAAGUUGUUGCAGUUAAAAAGCUCGUAGUUGAAUUUCGGGAUUAAUUUACUGGUCGUGCUAUUGUACGCACUGGUUUUAUUGAUUCCUCCCUUCUGACGAACUAUGAUGCCAUUAAUUUGGUGUCUUAGGGAAUCAGGACUGUUACUUUGAAAAAUUAGAGUGUUUAAAGCAGGCUCACGCUUGAAUACAUUAGCAUGGAAUAACGGAAUAGGACGUUUGAUUCUAUUUUGUUGGUUUCUAGGAUCGACGUAAUGAUUAAUAGGGAUAGUUGGGGGCAUUAGUAUUCAAUUGUCAGAGGUGAAAUUCUUGGAUUUAUUGAAGACUAACUACUGCGAAAGCAUUUGCCAAGGAUGUUUUCAUUAAUCAAGAACGAAAGUUAGGGGAUCGAAGACGAUCAGAUACCGUCGUAGUCUUAACCAUAAACUAUGCCGACUAGGGAUCGGAUGAUGUUAAUUUUUAAUGACUCAUUC
rnacentral:sRNA from 1 species